rnacentral:rRNA from 1 species
UACGUAGGGACCGAGCGUUGUCCGGAAUCAUUGGGCGUAAAGCGCGUGUAGGCGGUCCGGUAAGUCCGCUGUGAAAGUCGGGGGCUCAACCCUCGAAUGCCGGUGGAUACUGUCGGGCUAGAGUGCGGAAGAGGCGAGUGGAAUUCCUGGUGUAGCGGUGAAAUGCGCAGAUAUCAGGAGGAACACCAAUUGCGAAGGCAGCUCGCUGGGACGUUACUGACGCUGAGACGCGAAAGCGUGGGGAGCAAACAGG